GUUAGUCUUUUGGUUUUUGGCAUGUGUGCCAUAGUAGUUUAAAGUCGAGUUGCUAUGUAAGUUGUUGUAAAUAUUUUCUGUUUUUCUUUUUUCUCGUCUAAUAAAAAUACGGCAAAGCUCUUGCCGCCUUUCAAAAAAAAAAAAAAAAAAAAAAGAAAUGGGUUACGAACCGCUUGUAAAGAGCUUUUUCUGUGUAGCUAGCUAGGUAUGAUUUCCCUGUGCGCCAUCGUGAAGUGAAUAUAGUUAGAUCUAAACUGAAUUUCAGGAUGUGAAUAAUUAAAGUCUUGCUAAUGAAUGUUAGUCAAAGCCAUGGACGAUUUAUGAUUCCCCUUGUUUACGGGCCUCUCCAACAGUUAGCUAUUUAGCUAGCUAUUAGGAUAGUCCUAAUGCUAGAAACUACAUAUAUAUAGUUCUAUACCUAUUAAUUUUUAUAGGCACUAUAUAUAGAAACUAUAGUUCCAAUGGUUUCUAUAGAAUAAUUUUUUAUCCACUCACAUUCAUUCUUUCUCUAUUCUCAUACAAUCAUAUCACUUCAUGUCUUGGAUCUCGUGUAGACAUCGUUCCUAACUUUGACCUGGUUUCUAUAAUUUUUACUCUCUCUCUUCAAUAACUACCAUACCACACCAGCAAAAUACUUAGGUGACACUACAAUUAAUGUCUAUAGAAACUAUGCUGAUUUAUAUAUUUAGAGUGCCCUUAUGACAUAGAUAGUAAAAAAGAUAGAAGAGAAAGUUGUCACUAGAGACAAACAAAUACCUAAUCUAUUUAAUGCAGUCUAAGAACCUGUAACAUGUGAGUCUAAUAGUACAUAGAAAAAUAAAAAUAUAUAAAAUAGUCUUUUCUUUUGUCUCUCAUCUACAUGUCACCUAGCUACCUAACUAGCACCGUUGCAGACGUCGGGAAACCAUUAUUAUUACAUCAGGCCAUGACGAAAGGUGCUUUGUGCCAGAUUUCUCUUUGCUGCUGCUCUGAAUUGCGCACACCAAAACAGAAGAAUGGCAAGCGAUCACCGUCACG
rnacentral:lncRNA from 1 species